rnacentral:rRNA from 1 species
CCUACGGGUGGCUGCAGUGGGGAAUUUUGGACAAUGGGGGAAACCCUGAUCCAGCCAUGCCGCGUGAGUGAAGAAGGCCUUCGGGUUGUAAAGCUCUUUCGUACGGAACGAAAUUGCCUGGACUAAUACUCUGGGUAGAUGACGGUACUGUAAGAAGAAGCACCGGCUAACUACGUGCCAGCAGCCGCGGUAAUACGUAGGGUGCGAGUGUUAGUCGGGCUUACUGGGCGUAUUGCCUGCGCAGGGCGUGAAAUCCCCGGGCUUAACCUGGGAAUUGCGCUUGGGACUGGGCGGCUAGAGUACGGCAGAGGGAGGUGGAAUUCCACGUGUAGCAGUGAAAUGCGUAGAGAUGUGGAGGAACACCGAUGGCGAAGGCAGCCUCCUGGGCCAGUACUGACGCUCAUGCACGAAAGCGUGGGGAGCAAACAGGAUUAGAUACCCGGGUAGUC